CCUACGGGUGGCAGCAGUGAGGAAUAUUGGUCAAUGGGCGCGAGCCUGAACCAGCCAAGUAGCGUGAAGGAUGACUGCCCUACGGGUUGUAAACUUCUUUUAUAAGGGAAUAAAGUGAGGAACGUGUGCCUUUUUGUAUGUACUUUAUGAAUAAGGAUCGGCUAACUCCGUGCCAGCAGCCGCGGUAAUACGGAGGAUCCGAGCGUUAUCCGGAUUUAUUGGGGUUAAAGGGAGCGUAGGUGGGUUGUUAAGUCAGGUGUGAAAGUUUGGGGCUCAACCGUAAAAUUGCAGUUGAUACUGGCAGACUUGAGUACAGUUGAGGUAGGCGGAAUGCGUGGUGUAGCGGUGAAAUGCUUAGAUAUCACGCAGAACUCCGAUUGCGAAGGCAGCUUACUAAACUGUAACUGACACUGAAGCACGAAAGCGUGGGUAUCAAACAGGAUUAGAUACCCCAGUAGUC
rnacentral:rRNA from 1 species